rnacentral:rRNA from 1 species
GCAUAUCAAUAAGCGGAGGAAAAGAAACCAACAGGGAUUGCCUCAGUAACGGCGAGUGAAGCGGCAAGAGCUCAACUUUGGAAUCGCUCCGGCGAGUUGUAGUCUGGAGGUGGCCACCACGAGGUGUUCUAGCAGCAGGCAAGUCCUUUGGAACAAGGCGCCAGCGAGGGUGACAGCCCCGUACCUGCUUUUGCUAGUGCUUCCUGUGGCCCACCGACGAGUCGAGUUGUUUGGGAAUGCAGCUCUAAGUGGGUGGUAAAUUCCAUCUAAGGCUAAAUAUUGGCGAGAGACCGAUAGCGAACAAGUACAGUGAUGGAAAGAUGAAAAGCACUUUGAAAAGAGAGUGAAACAGUACGUGAAAUUGUUGAAAGGGAAGGGCUUGCACCCAGACACGGUUUCGGCCGGGCCAGCAUCAAGUAGAACGGGGUUAAAAGACUUGGGGAAUGUAGCUACUUCGGUAGUGUUAUAGCCCUUGGUGAUGACCCCUGUUUUGCUUGAGGACAGCGGUCUCUAGGAUGCUGGCGCAAUGGUUGCAAGCCACCCGUCUUGAAACACGGAC